AGUGAACGCUGGCGGUAGACCUAACACAUGCAAGUCGAACGGCAGCACAGUAAGAGCUUGCUCUUACGGGUGGCGAGUGGCGGACGGGUGAGGAAUACAUCGGAAUCUACUUUUUCGUGGGGGAUAACGUAGGGAAACUUACGCUAAUACCGCAUACGACCUACGGGUGAAAGCAGGGGAUCUUCGGACCUUGCGCGAUUGAAUGAGCCGAUGUCGGAUUAGCUAGUUGGCGGGGUAAAGGCCCACCAAGGCGACGAUCCGUAGCUGGUCUGAGAGGAUGAUCAGCCACACUGGAACUGAGACACGGUCCAGACUCUAACGGGAGGCAGCGGUGGGAAAUAUUGGACAAUGGGCGCAAGCCUGAUCCAGCCAUACCGCGUGGGUGAAGAAGGCCUUCGGGUUGUAAAGCCCUUUGUUGGGAAAGAAAAGCAGCAGGUUAAUACCCCGCUGUUCUGACGGUACCCAAAGAAUAAGCACCGGCUAACUUCGUG
rnacentral:rRNA from 1 species